rnacentral:rRNA from 1 species
GACUACCGGGGUAUCUAAUCCUGUUUGAUCCCCACGCUUUCGUGCAUGAGCGUCAGUUACAGCUUAGUGAGCUGCCUUCGCUAUCGGUGUUCUGUGUCAUAUCUAAGCAUUUCACCGCUACAUGACACAUUCCGCCCACUUCAACUGUACUCAAGAACGACAGUAUCAAUGGCAGUUUCCCGGUUGAGCCGGGAGAUUUCACCACUGACUUAUCAUUCCGCCUGCGCACCCUUUAAACCCAAUGAAUCCGGAUAACGCUUGCAUCCUCCGUAUUACCGCGGCUGCUGGCACGGAGUUAGCCGAUGCUUAUUCAUACAGUACCAUCAGUCCCGGUUCACGACCGGGAUAUUUUUCCUGCAUAAAAGAAGUUUACAAUCCAUAGGACAUUCAUCCUUCACGCGGCAUGGCUGGGUCAGACUUGCGUCCAUUGCCCAAUAUUCCUUACUGCAGCCACCCGUAGG